UUUUCAAUACAGAUAAAAUAGCCUUCUAUUGGAAGGAGAUGCCAUCUAGGACUUUCAUAGCUAGAGAGGAUUGACUCCAACUUUGAAAGAAGUUCUACUGUGGGUAAAAUGCUAUCCAAUAGCAUCACAUACUACAGAGAUGUGCUUCAUGAAGGGGAGAGCUAAUCGAUGUGGCAGAUUUCAUUGUCGUCUUCUUUUAAGAAACUGCCACAGCCACUCCAUCCUUCAGCAACCACCACCUUGAUCAGCCAGCAGCCAUCAACACCGAGGCAAGACCCUCCACCAGCAAAAAGAGUGUGACUCACUGAAGGCUCAGAAGAUUGUUAGCAUCUUUAACAAUGAAUUAUUUUAAAAUUAAGGAAUCUGGAGCUGAGAAAAUUUGGAAGACUUGCCCCAAGUCACGUGGUUUUUUAUAUGGAUGUCAACUCCAGUCUGUGUCUCUGGAAGUCAUGUCUAACAUCUCUUCUGGAGCUGGGCGAGCUCCUCAGCCCAGCCUGGACCCAGGCUUGUUUGGGAUCCAUGCCACACACCCGGUCCCCACACCUGAACAUAGCCAUGGAAGCCAGAGGGGUUAUUCCUGAGUUGUUUCCUCUUACCAGAUCUCUUGUUAAUCUUCUCAGAGCCCUGCUGUGUACGAGGGAACAAAUGCCUGAGGAUCUUUCCCAGCACCAACCCUGGGUCUCUUUGCAAAGGCGUUGCCUCGAUUCAUGGCACCGGGAGCAGUCUGACCUGCAAGAGAAACAGCCUGAGUCUUUCCAGUCCUGUGGAGGGAGAAAUCAGUGAAGGCCGGCCACACUCAGUCACCUGGAAUCAGGUGUUGCAUUUCUGCAUCCCGGGCUUAUCUGUCCGUGAGUAAAGACAUGGGGAGAAGUCAGAUGAAAACAGGGAGCCAGGGGUCUCUGGGAGAAGUACUGAUUGGGGAUGACAGGUUCGAUGGGCAUAGCAGCCUUGAGUCUUUGGGAGGGGAUUGGCUAAUGUUGUUAGUAGUUUCCCUGGGGCCAGGCUUACCCUGAAAGAUGUACAGACCCUUGUUGGGGAGGCAGGGACGUGACUGUGUAAUUUUAUUCAGUGGGGGCAUCCUGACACCCCCACUCAAUAACUAAAGGAAGGGAAGUGAGUCCCAGAGGCAACAUGGUUUCUCUGGUGAUGGAUCUGAUCAGGCAGAGGGAUGGGGGGUUCUGUUCUGUUGAAGAGAAACGAGCAUCGCUAAUAUGAAAGGAUUUAGAGGCUAUUACUGGGUUAUUUGUACAUUAUUAGAAGGAAGAGAGCUAGAAUCUCGGAGACUACAAGAGCCCUCCAUCACUUAGAGAGAAUGAGGGGCAUUUCAAUUUGCAGCAAUCGGCCAGGCUCGGUGGCUCAUGCCUGUAAUCCCAGCAUUUUGGGAGGCCGAGGUGUGCAGAUCACUUGAGCCCAGGAGGUCAAGACCAGCCUGGGAAACACAGCAAAACCCCCAUCUCUACAAACACAAACAAACGAUAAAGAAAAACACACAGAAAAUUAGCUGGAGGUGGUGGCUCAGGUCUGUAACAUCUCAGCACUUUGGCAGGCCAAGGGGGGCAGAUGGCUUGAGUCCAUGAGGUCGAUACCAGCCUAGCCAACCUAGCGAAACCCUCUACUACCAAAAAAAAAAAAAAAAAAAAGUACAUAAAAAAUAUUAGUGGGGGCAGGGUGGUGCAUGCCUGUAGUCCCGAGGCUGAGGCAAGAGGAUCUCUGGAGCCCAGGAGGUCGAGGCCAGCCUGGCCAACAUAGCAAAAUCCCAUUUCUACCAACAACAAUAACAACAAAAUAAUAGCAUGGGUGAGGUGGCUCCUGACUGUAGUUCCAAGGCCGAGGUGGGAGCAUCGCUUGAGCCCAGGAGGUCAAGACCAGCCCGGCCAACAUAGUGAAGCCCCGUCUCUACUAAAAACAACCACAACAACAACAACAAACUAGCAGGG